rnacentral:rRNA from 1 species
AGUGAACGCUGGCGGCGUGCCUAAUACAUGCAAGUCGAACGCGAAAGUCCUUCGGGAUGAGUAAAGUGGCGCACGGGUGAGUAAUACAUGGGAACAUGCCCUUGGAUGGGGAAUAACGUUUGGAAACGAACGCUAAUACCGCAUAAUCUCGCGAGAGUAAAGGUGGCGCCGCAAGGGCUACCGUCCAAGGAUUGGCCCAUGUCCCAUUAGCUAGUUGGCGGGGUAAUGGCCCACCAAGGCAACGAUGGGUAUGUGGUCUGAGAGGAUGAUCACACACACUGGAACUGAGACACGGUCCAGACUCCUACGGGAGGCAACAGUAGGGAAUAUUGCACAAUGGGGGAAACCCUGAUGCAGCAACGCCGCGUGAGUGAAGAAGGCCCUUGGGUUGUAAAGCUCUUUAGCGUGGGAAGAAGGUAGAUACGGUGAAUAAUCGUGUUUGCUGACGGUACCACGAGAAUAAGCACCGGCUAAUUUCGUGCCAGCCGCCGCAGUAA